rnacentral:rRNA from 1 species
UUGCAGGGUACUCGAGUGGCGAACGGGUGAGUAACACGUGGGUGAUCUGCCCUGCACUUCGGGAUAAGCUUGGGAAACUGGGUCUAAUACCGGAUAGGAGCCAUCUUUAGUGUGGGGGUUGGAAAGUUUCGGCGGUUGGGAUGGACUCGCGGCUUAUCAGCUUGUUGGUGGGGUAGUGGCUUACCAAGGCUUUGACGGGUAGCCGGCCUGAGAGGGUGACCGGCCACAUUGGGACUGAGAUACGGCCCAG